rnacentral:rRNA from 1 species
UACGUAGGGGGCAAGCGUUGUUCGGAAUUACUGGGCGUAAAGGGCGCGUAGGCGGCCACUGCAAGUCAGUUGUGAAAUCUCCGGGCUUAACCCGGAAAGGUCAACUGAUACUGCAGGGCUAGAGUGCAGAAGGGGCAACUGGAAUUCUCGGUGUAGCGGUGAAAUGCGUAGAUAUCGAGAGGAACACCUGCGGCGAAGGCGGGUUGCUGGGCUGACACUGACGCUGAGGCGCGAAAGCCAGGGGAGCGAACGGG